AAUAGAGUGUGAACAGACAUCUAAACACCCCUUCCUUUGCCUUCCUGGGAAGCACGCCUUUCUACCCCAGAUUCAGUGUCCCUGGGUAACUCACUGUCAAGAGACUGGAAGUCCACGUCCAGGGAAGGCUGCCAAAGUGUCAGAGACCACCCCAGUCACCGGUGAGUCACUCCACCGAGCCCUGGAGGGAGAGAGACGUGACAGUGAACAGGAUGCAGAGUUCUGGGAUCACCCUGCCAGCUCUGCAAGUAUGUUAUCACAGAGAAGAGCAGUACCGUGAGGCUCCGCGUCCCCGAGUGUGGCGCCUGCACCUUCAUCUGCAGAGAGGUCACGGGCCGACACCUAGCUAGCAUCCGGGCGCGAUGCUCUCAGUGCGCUGCGGUCCGCCCACUUUCACCGAGCUCUCCCUCCCGCUCCCUGCGCGUUCUCAUCCUAGCGGUCGCCCCGAGUUUCCCGGAGUUUCCCAUCCUCACUUACACAGAGAGAGAGACCCUGCGAGGAUCCGGCAAAGCAGACUGCUCACCGCUCUGUCUCGACCGGCCGCGCGAAUGGCUCCUAAGGCUGGAGAAUCGUGAGAGAGAAUCGGCGUGUCAGACCUUUUAAAGGAAGGAAUCGACCAGAAAGGAGAACCUAAAUGACCGCAAACACGCCUCCUCGGACCUGUAACCCUCAGCCCCGCCCAGGGGUCACCGCCUGGCCUCAGCUCCACCCUAGGGCUCAGCUGACAGCACCCAGGGCCUGCUCGCCCAGACACACCCGGUCCACACCUUCUCUGACUCUCUUACUCUCCAUCCUGAUCCCGGAAAAGUUGCUCGAGAGCCUCCAACUUCUAUUUCCUAUGGUUUGGGGAUAGCUGACAAUUUUAAGUUAUCCAGAGCCAUCCCAGUGGCUCCAUAGCCUCCCUUACUAUGAAUGAAAUCGUACCCAAGCUGUGAUCUCACCUGUUUCACAGGCAAAGAAACGGUCUGGAAGCGGCUGUAUGGCUACCUAAGGUCACCUCUAGUGGCAGGGCCCAGGUCCAUCUAUCUGGAAAUAGUGAGGGAAUGACCGCGUGGAUGCAGUCAAGAAUGCAGAGCUAGGCUGUUGUCAACUGUGUCCUUUCAGUAUCACGGGCCAGUUUCUGUUUUGUUUUGAUUUUUUCCCCCUUCCCCUCCGGGUUCUUCCUGAUCCAGGGAUAUCCUCCAUAGUUGAGGGAAGGCCAGGGGAUCGCUUGCCCAGUAGGGGAAGUGACUCAUUCAGUCACAGCUAUCUGGCAGAAGGCACCACUGCCCUGCAUGGCACUGUGACUCCCCACCCCCAGCUGCCACCCGGACCUGCCAGAACUCUCCUCACACAAUUCCUAGUUUGGCUUCCCCAGCUAGCUGGCACUCUGGUGAGAGGACAAAUAGGUUUGAGAAUUAGGGGAGGGGGGGGGAGCGAAAACAGCCCAGCACAACCACUGUUUGCCUCUCAGAAGGACCUAGGUUCCUGAGAAUAGACAGUAGCAGAAUUGCCUAUGAUCCUGCUCCUGGGAAGACUAAGGUCUCUCCCAUUCAUUUCUAGGAGCCUACAAGUGAAGCUGGAUUCAAAGUACCAAAGACCAACUUCUGAGUCACGAAACCCUGCAAAUGACUGAGCCUGAACACAAAAUUGUAUUCGACAUUUUCUAUGCCACUCUGAAAUCAACAUCAUCAAAGCCUGUGGCAGAGAGCAAAACAAGGGCCUUCAGAGCUCUAAGAGCCACCUCAGCUGAUCUGUGUGAGGCAGAAAGCCCCAAUACUAAAGGUGUGGACUUUGGAGAAUCUCCUUUAAGCAUUGAUGUAAGCAAAGGAGGGGGCCUAUCCAAGGCCAGGCAGCACCAGAGAACCAUGCCCCAUUACUGUCCAGUAACAAAACCUGAGAGCAACUUCCAACUACAGAACAGCAACCAGGGUAUG